rnacentral:lncRNA from 1 species
GCAGACUUUCAGCUGACAGCAGACUCAUGAGACCCUAAGGCUGAGCCACUCUCAAGUUCAUGACCCAUAGAAGCCAUGAGAGAUGAUAAAUUAUUAUUAUCCUUUGAAGCCAUUAAGUUUUGGGGUGAUCUGUGACACAGCAACAGAUAACACACUUUUCAACAGUUCUGGAGUUUGCAUUAUGGAGCUUUUUCAGGGGUCACUGUGGUAAAGUAUGAGGCCUUAAGGUUCAAGGUGGACCCCAGUGUCAAAGAGAGGCCCCAAGAGAAGAGGGGUUCCCUUCUCUCUGUCCCCUGCCCUUCGGGAGCCCCCUCCACACAUGCCCCCACAGGCCCACGCACCCCAAGCUGUGCCUGGGGAAAUAGGUCAGGCCUCCAGCCCAGACCCCUGCAGGUUUCUGCUCCAGAGGAGCUCUUCGAGGGGUUUCCUUGACCACCCCUCCAUUAAAAACCGGGUGUCUGGAAAAGUCUUUUGCAGGGAGGACCCUGGGCAUUGUCCUCGAGCCACGUUCUAGGGAGGCUGCGGGUGUCCCUGCCUGGGGAUGUGGGUUCCUGCUUUGCCAAUCCCGCAUCCUUGGCCAUUUAUCCCAUUGUGUUGCCAGCCUGUAGGGAGGAGAGAGACAGAGAAGAUCCUGUUUCUCCUGCUCAUAUCAGAGGCUGGCAGGCCUAGAAGGGGCUGAGGGAUGGAGCACGACCCUCAACCUGUACAGACAACGGCCCAGAAAGGCUGUGGAAUCUGCCCGGGGCCACCCAGCAGGCAGGCAGUGGUGUGGCGGCCCGAGUCCCUC